AUUUUAGAAGAGUUUCACAUGUACAGAAUUAUUAGAAAGACAACUUGGAAGACCAUCUGGCAUACCUAAAUAUUUUGGAGAACAGGAGGUGCGUAUUUCCUUUGCCUUUCUUAGGCUACCUACAUAU
ensembl:snoRNA